AUGAAAACAGUAGAAGAAAUUCAAACAAUAACUAUGUUAACUGGAAAUGGCUUAUUGUUCAGUGAAAAACAGCUGAUCUCCAUCAGAAACAGCCACUUUAAUUGCCAGUGCUUACUGUGGCCAAGAAAGAAAAGGAAAUUCCAUAAGAAAAGGGUUUUCCCUUUACUAAAUGCAGUCUCUUUCCUAGUUCUGGCUCUUCUGCUUCCCAAGCCCAUGAGUUAUAAAGCACAGGCUGAGCUACAGUUGAAAGAACAAGUCAUCCAAAGCCACAACCUGGGCUUUCCUGGAGAACGAAGUUUUUCAGAAAUGCAGGGAAAAUGGCUCUCUGACACAUCUUGCAUGAAGACCAUACAUAUAUCACUGGAGAUCAGAGGAAGAGAUGACACACACUGGCAUCAGGCAGGAUUUAUGGAAAGCUGCUCCUGUGACAGUUGUCUCCUACAUGACCUCUUGCAGUUCCUUCUUAGACUUCUUUCUUUUGCUCUUUGUAAAUAAUCCUGGUGCAGAAGCAUUGAAAUAUUACAAAAAAUAUUUGUAUACUCAUAAGGCAGAUGGAUGUGCUAAUUUCUCCAUGAGGAGGUGUCGUGGUUCCGCUCGAGUGGGCAGCCGAGUUCCACCACAACCGCUCUCUCACUCCCCCUCCUCAAAGAGGAAUGGGGAGAAAAUACGUGAAAAGGGCUCAAAGGUUGAGAUAAGGACAAGAAAAUCACGCAAUAAUUAUUGUAACGGGCAAAACAGACUCAGCAUAAGAAGAUAGUAAGAUUUAUUGCUCAUUACUAACAAGCUAGAGAAGUGAGAAACAAAGGAAAGGAACCAAAAGCACCUUCCCCCCCCCAUCCACCCUCUUCCACCUCCUCCCCCUGAGCAGUGCAGGGGAACGGGGGAAUGGGGGUUAUGGUCAGUCUACAGCGCUUCUCUGCUGCUCCUUCUCGGUCACUCUUGUCCCCUGUGCUGUGGGGUCCUUCCCACGGGAUGCAGUCCUUGAUGAACUGAUCCGGCGUGGGCUUCCCACAGGCAACAGCU
rnacentral:lncRNA from 1 species